CAGCCGCCGCGGUAAUACGGAAGGUCCAGGCGUUAUCCGGAUUUAUUGGGUUUAAAGGGAGUGUAGGCGGUCUGUUAAGCGUGUUGUGAAAUUUAGGUGCUCAACAUUUAACUUGCAGCGCGAACUGGCGGACUUGAGUGCACGCAACGUAUGCGGAAUUCAUGGUGUAGCGGUGAAAUGCUUAGAUACCAUGACGAACUCCGAUUGCGAAGGCAGCGUACGGGAGUGUUACUGACGCUUAAGCUCGAAGGUGCGGGUAUCGAACAGGAUUAGAUACCCCUGUAGUCCCUGUCUCUAUACC
rnacentral:rRNA from 1 species